rnacentral:rRNA from 1 species
GGGGGGGGGGGGGGGGGGGGGGGGGGGGGGGGGGGGGGGGGGGGGGAGGGGGGUUGCUCCUGGGUGCAGGGGCGGGCGGGGGAGUAAUGCGUAGGAAUCUGCCUGGGAGUGGGGGAUAACGUCGGGGAACGGGCGCUAGUACCGCCUACGUGCUGAGGGAGAAAGUGGGGGAUCUUCGGACCUCACGCUAUCAGAUGAGCCUAGGUCGGAUUAGCUAGUUGGUGGGGUAAAGGCCUACCAAGGCGACGAUCCGUAACUGGUCUGAGAGGAUGAUCAGUCACACUGGAACUGAGACACGGUCCAGACUCCUACGGGAGGCAGCAGUGGGGAAUAUUGGACAAUGGGCGAAAGCCUGAUCCAGCCAUGCCGCGUGUGUGAAGAAGGUCUUCGGAUUGUAAAGCACUUUAAGUUGGGAGGAAGGGCAGUAAGUUAAUACCUUGCUGUUUUGACGUUACCAACAGAAUAAGCACCGGCUAACUUCGUG